AUUGAACGCUGGCGGCAGGCCUAACACAUGCAAGUCGAGCGGAUGAGGGGAGCUUGCUCCGGGAUUCAGCGGCGGACGGGUGAGUAAUGCCUAGGAAUCUGCCUGGUAGUGGGGGAUAACGUCCGGAAACGGGCGCUAAUACCGCAUACGUCCUGAGGGAGAAAGUGGGGGAUCUUCGGACCUCACGCUAUUAGAUGAGCCUAGGUCGGAUUAGCUAGUUGGUGGGGUAAAGGCCUACCAAGGCGACGAUCCGUAACUGGUCUGAGAGGAUGAUCAGUCACACUGGAACUGAGACACGGUCCAGACUCCUACGGGAGGCAGCAGUGGGGAAUAUUGGACAAUGGGCGAAAGCCUGAUCCAGCCAUGCCGCGUGUGUGAAGAAGGUCUUCGGAUUGUAAAGCACUUUAAGUUGGGAGGAAGGGCAGUAAGUUAAUAUAGUGCUGUUUUGACGUUACCAAAAGAAGAAGCACCGGCUAACUUCGUG
rnacentral:rRNA from 1 species